GAAUAUUGGACAAUGGGGGGAACCCUGAUCCAGCCAUGCCGCGGGUGUGAAGAAGGCCUUUUGGUUGUAAAGCACUUUAAGAGAGGAAGAGGCUACUCUAGUUAAUACCAAGGGAUAGUGGACGCUACUCGCCGAAUAAGCACCAGCUACCUAUGUCGCAGCAGCCGCGGUAAGACAGAGGGUGCAAGUGUGAAUCGGAUUUACUGGGCGGAAAGCGCGGGUAGGGGGCCAAUUAAGUCAAAAGUGAAAUCCCCGAGCUUAACUUGGGAAUUGCAUUCGAUACUGGUUGGCUAGAGUAUGGUAGAGGAUGGUAGAAUUCCAUGUGUAGCGGUGAAAUGCGUAGAGAUCUGGAGGAAUACCGAUGGCGAAGGCAGCCAUCUGGCCUAAUACUGACACUGAGGUGCGAAAGCAUGGGGAGCAAACA
rnacentral:rRNA from 1 species